rnacentral:ribozyme from 1 species
CAACAUACAAACAAAAACACACAGAAAGAAAGAGGUACGUAGAAUGCAAAAAGAGGAGUUGAGUGUGUGUGUGAGUCGUUUCACCACUCCCACCUCUUUCUUCACCUCUGACGUAUGUCUCUCC